rnacentral:tRNA from 1 species
GGGGUCGUGGUCCAGCUUGGUCAAGAUUCGCGCUUGGGGUGUGCGAGAUCGUGGGUUCAAAUCCCACCGACCCCACC